rnacentral:lncRNA from 1 species
UGCUGGUAGGAAUUUUGUAUGAAGCUGUUAUUGAAGUAGAUGACAUUAAGGUCAAAGGAAAAAAAAAACAGAAAAUAAUGUAAUCCUACAGAGCUGCUCUUAAGAUCUUGAGAGAAAAACCACGUAGGUAACAUCAAACACUAGUUGGAAUCUUUCCAAGAAGUAAUUAUCUGUGUGCUGUUUGUGGUGGUUGAUUAUGGGAACAAACCAAGGUUUAGCCAAUUCAGCAAACAUUUAUGGAGUGCCUGCAAUGUGCAUGUCACUGUUUUAAGGCCUGUGCCUACUGUAAAGGUGACCCACACAUGAUGCCUGCCUUGCAGGACUUGGAGUUCAGCGAUAAUAAGAGAUGCAUACCUGAAAAGCCUAUUUAAGACUCUUCCGGUUCUACAAAGAAGGCUUCUUGAAAGUGGUAGCUUUGAUUACUCUUUGGAUUUAUUUACAUUUAUCCUAUAAUCAGAAGGUAUACAAAACAGACUCACACAUAUAUAAAAUUAAUAGAUUAGAUAGCAUUUAAACAAAUAUUUCAGGUAGGUACUUCAAAUGCAUUUGACAUUUAUCAAAGAAAUGGUAAGUGCUGUCAUCCGUGGGUGGCUGGAUUAACAUGUGGGACUACUUAUCACCAAUUUUGUUAGGGAUCUUAGGGAAAUUCCUGGAUCUUAUAUUCACAAGCAAUUGUAUAAAUACUUCCCACAGCUCAGAGACCUAAUAGGAUGGGGUCUUAGAGAAACAUCUUUUGAGCCACAGACUUCUUUGUUACCAGAAGGAAAAUGAAAGAAGAAAUUUAAAUACCACUUGAAGAGAGUUUCCUCAUCAGCAAAGUCAGAAAAAGUAUGUACCUGAAGGACUGAUUGUAAGGCUGGGAUGAGAGAAUCCAUGUGAUCAGCCCUCACCAACAGGUGCUGCCCAGUUCAUGAGUGCUGCUGCUGUCCUGCCCAAGUACCCAGCUUGCAGAGUGCCAGAGUUAGAGUCCCAGGGGUGUUCUCCACAGCUGCAUGCUUGAUCCAGGCCUAUCAGAUAUAUUCCAUUGAAAGUCCUCAUUCUCAAAUUUAAAACAAAGACUUUUUGUGUACCUCAAUAGCAAUGCACACACAGUUGGCUUCACAAACAUAUUGUACAUUUCUUUUUUUCAUAUUUAUUCAACAAAUGUAUAUUGACUACCCACCGUGUGACAGGUGUUAUUUGUUGACGGAACCAGGCAUCAUCAGCAAACAAAACUGACAAAGCUUCCUGCCCUCUGUGGAAGGCAUCUGAGGAAGAGACUGGAUUUUGUAGCAACAUGUUAUUCUCAUUAUAAACUUUAUCAUUGGAAUACUAAAGCCAAAUCAUCCCCCAUCUCCUUGAUCAGGAUACCCACUUAAUCUAGGCAGCUACACAAUUGUGAGAGCCUUUGUUUUUUUCUGCUGAAACAUCCUUAAAAAGAUACCUCACAACCCAAGAUUUGGCUUUUCUUAAAUACGAUUUUUAAUUUUUUUCAUUUCUAUCUAGAGAUUUAAUUGGAAAUGGAAAAUCAUCAAUUUUCCAAUUAAAUGUCUGUUCCAAUCAACAUUAUACCUUUUAGGUUGUCAUUGUCAUUUUUAAGUUUAAGCAACUUUAAGGAUUUUGAAUCUGGCUGCCUGUAAAUUAAAGGUGAAAGUAAUCAUUGUGUUGGAUUGGAACAUUUUGUCAAUUGAGAGUGGUUUCCUUGUUCUUAGUGUAUGAAAAGUUUAUUUUUCUAAUGUAGAUUAAUAAAGGAGAUAAAGAAAAACAAAAUGAGUGAUUUAUGUGUGUGAGAAAAGAACCAUUUCCUCAAGGAUUAAAUAAAAUUCAUACCUUUUGUUUCUUUUGAAAAGUUUUUAAAAUAAAUUUUAAUGAAUGUGUCCUUUAAAUAUUCCUUUAAAAAUGUAUCCUAUUUUAAAAUGGACUCUCUGAGAGAAGGAAUUGAUACCUGUGUUUAAAAUCAAAAAUAGCAUGCAUAGAGACUGUUUUUCUAGUUGGUUGAAGCUUUUUUCCCUCUCCUUUACAUCAGUGAACCAGCAUCUUGCCCUUCAGACCCUACAGCACACUCUUGGGCUCAUGAAGUGUAUGACACAUCCUCCUUGGGGGAUCGGCCAUGUCCUCGCUCUCAUGACCACAUGAAUUCUUCUGUAUGUCUUUUCUCACAGCUGAGUACUCUCUUCCUGACCCCCUUGUGGAAUGGGGAAAGGAGGCUGUGACAUUGUGCUUGUGCAAACAAUAAUUGAGAGCUUUCCGAGUCUCCUGCAUCUUCAUAAAUGAUUUUUUGUUUUAUGCUGGGACAGUAGUUCUUUAAAUAGAAUAUUCUCCCAUGGAAAUCGCCCACAAUGCUGAGAGUACACCUUGCAAAAGGUAAGUCUAGAAUAUAGGGUGCCUCCUCAGCAUUGCCCAGAAGCUGAAGUUAGGACUCUCUAGAAUACCAAAAACAAAUUUAUAGCAGUUCAUUAAUGUAAGGAAUUAUGAAAACUGUGUGCCACCAUUAUCCAUAGAUGAAACAAGAGCCACCACGCAAGCACAGACACAAAGCCCUGAAGAUGAAGCCAUUGACAGGGCUCUCAUUUAUUCUGUAGAAACCCACUUGCCUGUUUUUGAACCAGUUUUCUUUGGAGCAUAUGUCUCACUGUGCAACCAAAGUGGUGUUUAUAUCCUAGUCACUUGGCAAAAAUUCUGUCAUUGCUUCAGGGAGAUCCAUUUUAGGCCUGAAGCAUGGAGCUGGUAAUAGAUGGGAUUUGGUACUUCUGAAGAAAAGACCCUACUGCAAAUUUAGAGAGUUAAUUUUUUCUUUUGUUCCCCAUAAUAUUGUUGCUAGAUAGAACUACCUUUUUUGACUAGAAGUUAAAUAUAGAGGCCUAAAUCAAUUAGGUAACUCCCACUCAUUCUAAAUGAGAACAUGUUUGUUUUUCUCCAACGAGAUGAGAAAUAUUUGAGGCGCUUCCUGAUAUCUCUAUCACCCACUGCAUUUUUUCACUUGAUGUAUAUUUCCCCAUGUAUUUGGGAUAAUUUUCAAAUAAUUGCCCUUUAGAAAUCUACUUGAUAUUAAAUGUAAAAAAAAAGCAAGAUGCAAAAUUAUUAUAGGAUGCAUUUACAGAAAUUACAAAAUUUCUAUAAACUAUUUAUGGAGGAAGACUUAUAGAGUAUAUGUCAACACAUUGCUUUAUUAUUGUCCUUGGUUAUGAGUAUGGUUUUUUUGAAACCUGCUUUGUACUUUGGGUGUUUUCUCACCAUUGGUACAAUUGAGGCAUUUUUCCCUCUUCUUCAACCUUGCAAAUCACACGUGAGGAUGCUCAUAGAAGUGCCUCUCAGACAGGCUGUUGUUUUGCUUUCACCAAUAAAUCAUUUAUAAUUAGAAGUAGAAAACUAUUCUUUCCAGUGCAAAUACAUCCCUUUCAAAAGCAGUUCUCUUUUUGUGAAUGAUGUCUAGUGUCUAAGAAACGAGGGUAACCUUUAUUAUAUGCAUUGCUCUAAUCGAAGCAUUGUUUUUUGCGGUGAACUCAAGGUUACAUGUUUAAGAAAAGCAUCGGGUUAAUUCCAUUAGGAAAAGUGUCUUAUUCAUAAACCUUUAGCCACUGGAAAAACACCAUUAGGAGGCCACACAAGUGUGUAUAGCUGGAUAGAAUUUGACAACUGGCAAAACAAAACAAUAGCCUACAAUUGCAGAGUGCUGUCUGUUUAAAAACCAACAUAUCUUUCACCAACAAAUACAUAUUCACCUCAACACGAGACUUUCAUGUGGUUAUUAAUAUCAAAUUUUUGAAUGUCCAAAUUUUGGAGUGUAGUCUAGCAGAGGUAAACUGAUUUGCCUAAGGUCCUUCAACUGUCAGAGGUAGAAUUAUUUUCUCUCUCCUGGCUCUAAAACCUGUCCAGAUUCUCCUGCAACACUGUCCUUCAAAAACACACUUCCGCUGACUCCAGUGCUGGUGAUGUCAUGCUUUAGCUAGUAGUUAGAGGUGACUUAACUUUAAAUAUGGAAUCUUUUUUUCCUAUUAAGCAAUGAGGUUUAGUUUGAAAAUUCUUAGAGAUGAUAAACCCCUCUCCUUUUUUUCUUCCUUCUCCUCUUUUGUCCUGAACAAUGUUCCAUAUAUAUUACUGCCAGAAACAGAUUCUUGACAUUCCUGUUAUGCUUUUCCACAUCUUGUAAUCAUUUCUACAGCUGUUAGCAUUGCCAACAAUUAUAUUUCCACUUUUAAAAAAUUGUUACAAAGAUGCAGAGAGAAAAGAGGAAAGCCAAGGAAUAAACUACAGGCAAUUAUGGGAUAUUUUUGUGAUGUGACAUUUUGGGAACUGAGGCAGCAUCACUGAUACUGCACUACUUUUUAAUAUCUAGAUUUUAAUCUUUUGUAUGAAGAUAAAAUUCACAUGCCUUAAACCUGACCACAACAUAAUAGGGCAUUUAUUUUUCUAAUUUUGAUACCAUCCACAUUUCUUAACUAUAAGAAGAAUGCUUAUGUUGUACCAGGUUAUAUGAUGUUGCCAAGAAGUAGAUGUGUACCAUUUACUAAUACAUCCUUUUGGAAAAUGCGUAUUAAUAACAUAUUAAGGAGUAAAUUGACGUUGUGCAAAGUGAGCCUGUGAGUUUAAAUGUAUGGAUUGUACACCUUGCUCUUCCUAAUUGCAGAUUUAACAGGAUUUGAUGACCUAAUGAGUUUAUUUCUGAAUGAUUUAUAUUUCUUUGUCAGUUCAAUGAUUUAGUAUUUUAAAUUUUUUUAAAUCACAUUUUAUUGAGAUAAUGCUAUUAGUGUUUCUUUCCCAUCACUUAACAAAGUUAAGUCACUCCUCUCCCACCCCACUUUUGUACCUACCAAUGUUUUUUUCACAGUUACAGGCUGAUUGGCUUGACGUGUCUUAGGAUACCACCCAAAGAGAGCUUCAUUUUAUAAAUACCAAGCUCAUUUUCCUAAAUAUUUUCAAAAAGAUAGAUUUAUCCUCAUAUAGUAAAUUCAGAUUAAUAAUUUUGGAAAGGGUCAUGUGACCAUGGUAUUACAUGGCUGUGGAAGACCCUCCAAGAUCUUGUUUUGGGAUAGAAGGACUCAGACAUCCAAACUUUUAAAUUAAUGAACUUAUUAAAUUCUAAAACUUUGUAACAGUGUUAAUUUGAGAAGUAUAAUAUUUUGCUUAAGGUCUGUUUUGCUUUGCAAAAUGCAUCUCCUUCAUUUUCAUAUUAUGUUGGAAGCUUAGCAUGAAAGAACGUGCCUCAGAGGAAACCAUAGGUAAGCAUACUUUAACAAAAGUUAGUGUCAUCAUGUUUGUGUCUUUGCCUGUGGUUUUUUAAAUGUAUAAUGUUUAACGUUGAUUUGGCUAUCAAAUUACAUUUUCUUUUGUUAAAAAAUUCUGUAAAUUAGAAAUGUACUGAAUCAUUUAUUUAGCAGACUGAAGGUGGGUAAUGUUGGCUGAACAGGUUUAAGCCACAGUAAUUUGAAAAUGUAAAUACAUAAAAUAAUGUCAUUUCUCUUCCACUCAAUGUUUCUUCACCAAAUAAAGUCCAGCCUGCUCUGAAUUUGUUGCCAGUAGGAACAAUGUUACAGUGAAUCAUGGUUUAAUAUACCUUGAAAAUGGCACAUCUGUUCUGUGAUAGCUUACCAAUUUUAGCCUCUUUAUAAAAUACGAAGAGUUUGUCAACCAGAAUAAUCUAGAACCUGGCAAUUCAAAUACCAUUCAAAGCAAAUGUUUUAUCUAAUAACUGGAACUAAAUGUUAGGCCUCAUGACAGUUCAAUAUUUACUAAAUAAGUUUAAUAACAGGGUAAGCCCUCAGUAUCCAGAGCAGAGACAAGCACACCAUAUUUACACAUACAAAUUCUGCCUUUAGCCAUCUGAAAGGGCCCCGAACUAUUGCAGCAAGCAAAGAGUCUUUGCAUUGUCCUAAAAUCCAUACAAUACUUUAUAUUUUACACAUUUUAAUAGCUAGUUUAACAAAUAACAAGUACCAUGCUUAAUUCUCUGCAUGCAUUAUUUCAACUAAUUAUUGGAAUAAUCUUAUAAAGUGGGUACUUUCGUCUCAGCUUACAGGUGAGAAAACAAAAGUUAAAUAGAUCGCCCAGGGCUCUGCUGGAACGUGUUAAGCAGGGAUUUCAGCCUGUCCAGUCAGACCCCAGAAGUUGUGUUCUUAACCAUUAGCAACACAUCAUCCCAGGCAGGCCCUACAUGAGCCUCAUAACCAAUUUUAUGCUGGAUAGUAUUAUCCCUAUUUCACAGAUGGCAAAACUGAGGUCCAGAGACUUUAAGUGACCUACCCAAAAUUACAGUCAUGAGCAGAGGCACUGGAAUGUAGGGCCUUGACACUCUACCUCACGUGGUCCUCUUUCCUGUUUUGGGUAGUUCUCCACUACCACUACUCAUUUCUGAUGCUGGAAAGGCUGUGUUUUAUACAUUUCUGUUUCUGGCUUGGAACGAAACACUCUGGGUCUCUGCUUGAUCAGUGUCCCCUCUAAACUGCACCUCACUACAGUAGGGAUGGCAUAAGAUACUUCUUUACACAGCAUCUUUUUGUUCCCACCUCACCCCCAGAGCUGUAAUAGGUAGAGCCAGCCAAAUGUCAAAGGGAUGAUUUGUCUUGUCACCACUAGUUUCCCUUUUCUCUGCCUUGUAUGUAACAGGAAUAUUCUUUAGUUCCUCCUUAUGUUCUAAAGCACCUCCCCAACCUAAAAAUAGAAGAGGAGUUGUGGGUCAUUUACACUUUAGUGUGAAUUUGCCCUUGUGACUUUGCCAAGGCUGUUGUGCCUAACCCUUUCAAUCUAACAGCAGAAUGAGAGUCUCUGGACUAUCCUGGCUCCUUCCCUGAGAAGAAUGAACUGGGAAUUGUUGGUCUAGACAUCAAGACUACCAGAGACCUAUUGCUCAGAGAUGUUUGGGCUGUACAAUUUCUGUAGAUAUGGCAUCUGGAGCAGCCUUUUCUAAGCAAUGGCAUUAUCAUUCCAGGCUCUCUCGCUCUUUCCAUCUCUCCACCAGGUGGACUCUUGCCCUCCACCCCUUCCAAUUUGUCAGUGAUUCAGAGAACAUUCUCCAUCCUUCCAAUGAUUACAUUCCUUCAUCUUGCUGGGGCGCCAAUUCAGUGAUGGAGCGGCUCUUGGGAGCAGCCUUGGCUUAUAGUGCAGCUCUCUGCUACCUUCAACAGGCUGGUAUUCGGGGUGCUUAGAUGUGACUGGUUGUACGCACGUGUGUGUAUGUGCAUGUGUGUACAGCAGUAAGAGCUUUCGAGGUAGAUACUUGAGGAAGCCUCAGACAUCUAGCCCCAUUACUGGGGCAAUGUCUUACUUGGGUUUUUCCAGAAACAGACCUGGAGACCAGGAUUCAAGUGCCAGUGGUAUAUUUGGGAUGUGAACCCUGCAAUGCUGGUAGGAGAGUGGAGAAGUGAGGCAAGGAAAGGAAGGCCGUCAAGGGGCGUGUUAGGAGGUCAUUCACCACCGCAGGUAGCCCGCUGGGGACCUCUGGGAGCAAGUGUGGCGCACAAGCCUCAGCAUUACUGCCCUGUGCCUUGAGGAGUAAGGGAUAAGGAUUUUCCCCACCAGUUCCCUGUAGUCCUUGGUGAGAGCUUCUGGGGUGGAGGUUAAGGUCUUUAGGUCAGAGAAAUUUUCUUUAGUUUCGGAAAAAUCUUUCAGGCCGAGGUCCAGACACUCACUGGAACACACUGAAGUGGUUAGGUCCAAGGGCUGUAGGCAGAGCUCCCAUAUCCAUCUGCAGAGGUGUUUCAGGUGGAAGGAGUGGAGACAGCCUUCUCUGCUCCACACUGUCUUCAGCAAGGGUUUCUGUAUCUGUGCAUUGAGGAUUAAAUUAUUCACAUGGUCAGAGAAGCCCAUCACCACUGAUAGUUAUUGUAGGUAUGGAAAACUAACGACUAAGAAGGGAGAAAAAUAUACCAAGCAGUUGGCUUGGCUGAACACAAGUAAAGACUCUUACAGUCACUGGUGUGAACUGCUUAUUAUCAAUGUCUGAUUACAGUGCUGCAUACUAAUGAUUAUGCAUGUCAUUAAAUGUGUCAGAUUAACUUUGUUAUAAAAUUUAUGACAACAUUAAAUUUUAUUCACAUGCUCAGCCUUCAUAAUUUAUUGCUUAUGUAGCAUGGUUUUAACUUCAGAAAAACCUCCAAGACAGUGUUGUCUUGAUGACUACACUGCUUAUCCGUGAGUCUAGUUUUCCUGUUCAUUUGAAAUGUUCACAUUACAUUCAGCUCUGUCUCAAGCACUGAGACAGAGCUGGAAUCAGUGCCCAGCGAUUCCACUUGCCGAGUGAUUGA